GUGCUCGCUUUGGCAGCACAUAUACUAAAACUGGAAUGAUACAGAGAAGAUUAGCAUGGCCCCUGCACAAGGAUGAUACACAAAGUCAUGAAGCAUUCCAAAGUUUU
ensembl:snRNA U6 U6 spliceosomal RNA